rnacentral:rRNA from 1 species
CCUACGGGUGGCUGCAGUGGGGAAUAUUGGACAAUGGGGGCAACCCUGAUCCAGCGACGCCGCGUGUGUGAAGAAGGCCUGCGGGUUGUAAAGCACUUUUAGUGGGGAGGAAAUGCUCAGUCCUAACACGACUGGGAACUGACUUAACCCACAGAAAAAGCACCGGCUAACUCUGUGCCAGCAGCCGCGGUAAUACAGAGGGUGCAAGCGUUAAUCGGAAUUACUGGGCGUAAAGCGUGCGUAGACGGUUUCGUAAGUCGGGUGUGAAAUCCCCG